UACGUAGGGACCAAGCGUUGUUCGGAUUUACUGGGCGUAAAGGGCGCGUAGGUGGCAAUUCAAGUCAUCUGUGAAAUCUCCGGGCUUAACUCGGAACGGUCAGAUGAUACUGCUUUGCUCGAGUGCGGAAGGGGCAAUCGGAAUUCUUGGUGUAGCGGUGAAAUGCGUAGAUAUCAAGAGGAACACCUGAGGUGAAGACGGGUUGCUGGGCCGACACUGACGCUGACAGCGCGAAAGCCAGGGGAGCAAACGGG
rnacentral:rRNA from 1 species